rnacentral:rRNA from 1 species
ACUGUACUAAACUAACCAAAGUGGGGGAUAGUGAGAGGGAUAAAUUUUCUUAAGGAACUCGGCCAAAUCCUAAUGCCCAUCAGGGUAAAUAUCAGAACAUGGGCCUCGACUGUUUACCAAAAACAUAGCUCUCAGCCAAUAUGAAAGUAGAAGUAUGGAGGGUGAGGCCUGCCCAAUGGUUGUAUCUAAAAACGGUUGAUAAAAGUCGACUUCAUAAGGACAAUUGAAUGGCCGCGGUAACACUGACCGUGAUAAUGUAGCGUAAUCAAUAGCCAAUUAAUUGUUGGCCAGUAUGAAUGGCGUCACGAAGGCCCCACUGUCUUAAGAGAAUUCCCAGUGAAAUUGAAUUCGUAGUGAAGAUGCUACGUCCAAUUUGUUAGACGAAAAGACCCCAUUGAGCUUUACUGGAGACUUACAUUGCUCGGAUCAACUCUCGCCCCCCCCUUGGCGGGGGGUCGAAUUUAAAUGGAUAGCUUAGAUUAUGUGGUGUCAUAACCGUCGAUCAAGUAAUCCCUACGGGAUUGCCCCCCGAAGGUUGACCUAUUUGGGUGAAUGAAACCCCACUCUUCUUUGUUAAAUGUGCUAACCCUUAAGGGGACAAUGUAAGUUGGACAGUUUGGUUGGGGCGACCGCCUUUUAAAGAGUAACGAAGGUGUGCUUAAGGUACACAAUUAAUAACACAAGCCUGACUGCGAGGGGGACCCUCCGAGCAGACACCUAAAGUCUUCUCCCUUCCCCCCGAAGGUUAAAGACGAAUGGUGGGUUAUAGUGACCCGUUAAUUUAGAGUGGAAUAGUUAACGAUCAACGAAUAAAAGUUWCCAUGGGGAUAACAGCGUAA